AUGAGGAGAGGGAGGAGUUUAUUGAGGAAAUGUUGUUGCGUAUUUAAGCGAGAGGAAGCAGAGACUGGUCCUUUCUAUCCUGCAGACUCUUGUCUGAAACGGAGCGGAGAUGGUCUGCUUGUAUGCUGUGAUCUAGUGUGCAGUCUGCUGUCACUAGAUGACUGCACACUGCAUUUAUUAUUUUAUUUUGAGGAGGAGAGGAGGAGAACCCAACUGCCAAGGGAUUCGGGCACUCGGGUCCGCUGCCCUGUUCUGGAGCAUUCUCUGGCAACACUGGAUCUCUGGCCGGGGUCCAGUGGACCUGCAGUGAACAGCGCCAGGUCUAUGACCCGCUGACGAAGCACCAGAAAACUAGAAGCAACCAAAACAAACAAACAAGAAAACUGAAGCCGACUACUACCCUUAACCCCAUCCCCCCAAUUCCCCCCCCCCCCCCCUUUGGUCGGCUUCUGGUUGUCUGUUGCUUGGUUGGCAGGCUAUGGGGAUGGCCUGCUGUAAAAACAACCAGUUUUUUAUUUUAUUUUAUUUUAUGAAGGCUGAGCGCAAUUCUUCCCAGAAAAAUCAAUAAAAAUGGAAAAACCUGAAACUGAAACUAAUGUCUGUGUUUUAUUUCAUUCGAGUUAUGGAACACUUUUUAAAGAAUAGCAAGGCAAAGGAGAUAUAUUUUUAAAAAGUCACUGACUUCAAUUUUAUUUCCCAAAAUCUUCUUUUGUGUUUCACAGAAGAAAUAUAUUCAUAAAGGUUUGGAAUGGCAUGGUAACUUUCAAUUUUGGAUGAACUGCUAUCUUCCAAAUUCAUGAACAUUCUUGACGUUCUAACCUCCUUGCUCAGUAAGGACUGAUAAACAGAGACCAGCAGCAGAAUCAAACAUAACUUGCUUAUUUUGUUUCUAAAGUACACAAAACCUGGUGCAGCCAGAAACCCUGCUAAAGAAAAGGCUAAAAUAACAAAGCAAUACAACACAAAACAAUAAGGUCUCGUUUGUUAACAUUAGUUAUUACAUUAGUGAGCUAACAAUAAGCAAUACACUUUUACAGCAUUUAUUAAUAUCUGUUAUGAAUUCAUGUUAGUUUUUAGUGCUUUUACUCAUGUUAGCAGAUACAAUUUUAAAUUACUAAAUGUUAAAAUUAAGAUUAAAUGGUGUAGAAGUAGUCUUUAUUAUUAGUUCAUGCUAACAAUGUACUAAUGAUAACAAAUAUAACUCUAUGUUAAAGUGUUAAACUGAUUAUUAAUACUGAUAGUAUUUGAACUUGAAACAUGUGUUGUCUCAACAAAGGUAAAAGUGAGUUAGAUUCAUUUUAAAAUGCUCAAUAUAAAAUGCUGUGUUAUUCACUAAGAAACAACAAUGAAGGCUUCCUGUAGAGGGAGGGCUGACAGAGAAUCAGAAACUUACUGAGGAAAUGAAACUUAUGAAAACAACAGAUGUUCACAGAUCAGAUGAGGGCGGGAACAGUGUACCAGUAUAAAUUACACACAGACCCACUGAUCUGUCCUUUCCAGAGCCUUCUGCUGCCAGAUCAACAAG
ensembl:lncRNA